rnacentral:rRNA from 1 species
CAAAGGGUUUAAAGCGGGGCAGAUCCAUUUUCUGGCCCCGAAAUACAUUAGCAUGGGAUAAUGGGAAUAGGACCCCGUCCUCCUAUUUUCAGUUGGUUUUGGCACCGCGAGGACUAGGGUAGUGAUUAAUAGGGAUAGUUGGGGGCAUUAAUAUUUAAUUGUCUGAGGUGAAAUUCUUGGAUUUAUGAAAGAUUAACUUCUGCGAAAGCAUCUGCCAAGGAUGUUUUCAUUAAUCAAGAACGAAAGUUAGGGGAUCGAACACAAACAAAUACCGUCCUACUCUUAACCAUAAACGAUGCCGACCAACGAUUAAGAAACAUUGAAUACAAAACACCACCAUCGGCGCGGUCUUCCUUGGCGUCUGUCUUUGUGAAUGAGUCCCUGGCCGCUUGUGACAAAUCCCGGUGGUGACUGACAAUGACUCCCUUUGAGCUAGUGAGAAAA